GUCAAACUUUUGCAAAAGUGAAUUUACAAAGUAAAAUACUACGCAACUUUUCUUUGAGUGGUGAAAUACCUAAAGUUUUUUAACUACUUAAGUAAUUCACUAUACAAACCUGGAUCUGAAACAAGGAUUAGAUACCCUUUUAUUCUAGGUACAUUAUCUUACGGAGCACUAAAGCUAUAAAAGCUCAAACUUAAACAACAUGGCGGUAAUUUUAAUUCAGGGGAACUUACCACGUAAUUGACAACCACCAAGGUUACUUAACUUUAUAAAACUCUUGUAUGCCGUCGUCGUCAGGUAAAACAUCAUGUGUUAUCGAGUGGAAGUCAAAAAGACAGAUCAAGGUGCAGACAAUCAUAAAGUGUAGGCGAGUUACAAUUUUUAACGGCUAACCAUUUGCAAAGUGGUUUAAAGGGGGACUUGACAGUAAAUUCUAUUAUUAAUACUAAUUGARGAUUAAAAUUGUGCACAA
rnacentral:rRNA from 1 species